rnacentral:rRNA from 1 species
AUUGAACGCUGGCGGCGUGCUUAACACAUGCAAGUCGUGCGGUAACAGGCGUAGCAAUACGUGCUGACGAGCGGCGAACGGGUGCGUAAUACAUGGGAAUCUGCCCUUUAGUGGGGAAUAACCCGGCGAAAGCCGGGCUAAUGCCGCAUAAGAUCUUCGGAUGAAAGCGGGGGAGUCGUAAGACCUCGCGCUGAUGGAUGAGCCCACUGCCGGGUUAGCUAGNGGUUGAGGUAACGGCUCACCAAGGCGACGAUCCGUAGCUGGUCUGAGAGGACGGCCAGCCACACUGGGACUGAGACACGGCCCAGACUCCUACGGGAGGCAGCAGUGGGAAUAUUGGACAAUGGGGGAAACCCUGAUCCAGCGACGCCGCGUGUGUGAAGAAGGCCUGCGGGUUGUAAAGCACUUU